rnacentral:rRNA from 1 species
GCAUAGCGACCCCAGGUCAGGCGGGAUUACC